rnacentral:misc_RNA from 1 species
GAUCAUUACUGUGAUUUACUACUACACUGCGUGAGCGGAACGAAAACAACAACACCUAAAAUGUGGAAUAUAGCAUAUAGUCGACAAGAGAAAUCUACGAAAAAACAAACAAAACUUUCAACAACGGAUCUCUUGGUUCUCGCAUCGAUGAAGAGCGCAGCGAAAUGCGAUACCUAGUGUGAAUUGCAGCCAUCGUGAAUCAUCGAGUUCUUGAACGCACAUUGCGCCCCUCGGCAUUCCGGGGGGCAUGCCUGUUUGAGCGUCGUUUCCAUCUUGCGCGUGCGCAGAGUUGGGGGAGCGGAGCGGACGACGUGUAAAGAGCGUCGGAGCUGCGACUCGCCUGAAAGGGAGCGAAGCUGGCCGAGCGAACUAGACUUUUUUUCAGGGACGCUUGGCGGCCGAGAGCGAGUGUUGCGAGACAACAAAAAGCUCGACCUCAAAUCAGGUAG